AUGACAUCAAGACCUGAGCCGAGAUCAAGAGUCAGGCGUUUAACCGACUGAACCACCCAGCUUGGAAAGAAGCACACUUGGGCCGCCUUGAGAGCUGACCGAUGGAAGACAUCAUCUGGAGACAGAGGGACCAGAAAGGCAGGAAAUGGAGGAAUAGCUUCCUUUUCCUGACCUUCUUCAGGGAAGCAUGUGUGGCCACACCCUCUACCCAUUGAGCAUUUGAGGACAGAGUAAUAAUGCAGACUCUCUUGGCAAGCCUCUACUUGUACUUUCUGGAACUGUUCUUCCCAACCAUUCAGAUAGACAAAUCUGAAUACUGGCAAUUUCUCAGCUGAAGUGUGUAAGGACCUGGAGAUGAGGUCAUCCUGGAUUAUCGAGAUAUGCCCUACCUCUCAUAAGGGAGGUAGAGGGAGGUUUGAGACAGAUGCACAGACGAGAAGACACCCACGGGGAGAAGGCCAUGUGAAGACAGAGGCAAGAUUGGGGCAAUGUGGUCACAAGCUAAGGAAUACCAUGGACUGCUCCAGCAACCAGAAAGAAGCAAGGGAAGUCAUGGACCCGAUCCUAUCUGCAGAAGGAACCAACCCUAGCAAAUGCAUAUGGUAGAAAUUCAAUGAAUGCUGGCUCACUUCAUGAUCAGGACAGAACAAGAAGCUCUGGAAAAGAAGCAUUUGGAAUCAUUUUCAAGUGGAUGUCAAGCCCUUCUAUGGAGAGUCUAAAGAUUUUUCUAGAGCAGAAUAAACACUCAAACACAGAGAAAAACAAACCAGGGGUGCCAGUAGUCCUUCUCUGGGCUUUCUUUCCCAGGGAGACCAGGAUGGGCUUCAGAGGCAUGACCCCCAGCAAAAUACCUAUGUGUGCCCACCAGAGGGGCUAAAGGCUGAGUAUGCCAAGUGAUGGCAAGGAUGUGGAAUCAGCAGAACUCUCACACACUGCUAUGGGUACAGAAAAUGGAAAACAGUAUUUUUUUCUUCAAAUGGCAAACAUACACCUAACAUGUUACCUAGCCAUGCCACGCCUAGGCAUUUACCCAAGAGGAAUGAAAACAUAUGUCCACACAAAGACUUGCACUGAAUUUUCCUAGCAGCUUCAUUGUAACACCCCCCCCCAAUAGAAACAGAUCCAAAGCCCAUCAACAGGUGAAUAAACAAUGAAAUACUGAUCAUUAAUGAAAGGCAUCAGUAAAUGGUUUCUUUUAACAU